rnacentral:rRNA from 1 species
UUAAGCUACUAAGAGCACACGGAGGAUGCCUAGGCGCUAGGAGCCGAUGAAGGACGUGGCGAACAACGAUACUGCCUCGGGGAGCUGUAAGCAAGCUUCGAUCCGGGGAUGUCCGAAUGGGGAAACCCGACUGGUGUAAUAGCCAGUUACCCGUAUCUGAAUACAUAGGAUGCGAGGAGGCAUACCCAGGGAACUGAAACAUCUAAGUACCUGGAGGAAGAGAAAACAAGAGUGAUUCCGUCAGUAGCGGCGAGCGAACGCGGAACAGCCUAAACCAGAGAGCUUGCUCUCUGGGGUUGUGGGACGUCUCACAUGGAGUUACAAAGGUUUAGAUUAGACGAACAGGUCUGGAAAGGCCGGCCAUAGAAGGUAAAAGCCCUGUAAUCGAAAAUGUGAACCCUCCGAGACGGAUCCCGAGUAGUGCGGGGCACGUGAAACCCCGUAUGAAUCCAGCAGGACCAUCUGCUAAGGCUAAAUACUCCCUAGCGACCGAUAGUGAAGCAGUACCGUGAGGGAAAGGUGAAAAGCACCCCGGAAGGGGAGUGAAAUAGAACCUGAAACCGUGUGCUUACAAGAAGUCAGAGCCCGAUCGAUGGGUGAUGGCGUGCCUUUUGUAGAAUGAACCGGCGAGUUACGUUCCCAUGCAAGGUUAAGGCGAGAAGCCGUAGCCGCAGCGAAAGCGAGUCUGAAUAGGGCGCUUUAGUAUGUGGACGUAGACCCGAAACCGUGUGAUCUACCCCUGUCCAGGGUGAAGGUGCGGUAACACGCACUGGAGGCCCGAACCCACGUACGUUGAAAAGUGCGGGGAUGAGGUGGGGGUAGCGGAGAAAUUCCAAUCGAACUCGGAGAUAGCUGGUUCUCCCCGAAAUAGCUUUAGGGCUAGCCUCGGAAAUUAGAGUCGUGGAGGUAGAGCACUGAUUGGGUGCGGGGCCCGCAAGGGUUACCAAGCUCAGUCAAACUCCGAAUGCCAUAGACUUAUAUCCGGGAGUCAGACAGUGAGUGCUAAGAUCCAUUGUCAAAAGGGAAACAGCCCAGACCAUCAGCUAAGGUCCCCAAGUGUGUGUUAAGUGGGAAAGGAUGUGGAGUUGCACAGACAACCAGGAUGUUGGCUUAGAAGCAGCCACCAUUUAAAGAGUGCGUAAUAGCUCACUGGUCGAGUGACUCUGCGCCGAAAAUGUAACGGGGCUAAACACACCACCGAAGCUAUGGCUUGAUGCUUGCAUCAGGGGUAGGGGAGCGUUGUGUAUGCGUUGAAGGUGUACCGUAAGGAGCGCUGGAGAGUACACAAGUGAGAAUGCCGGUAUGAGUAACGAAAAGAUCAGUGAGAAUCUGAUCCGCCGAAAGCCCAAGGUUUCCUGAGGAAGGCUCGUCCGCUCAGGGUAAGUCGGGACCUAAGGCGAGGCCGAAAGGCGUAGUCGAAGGACAACAGGUUGAAAUUCCUGUACCACCGUAAACCGUUAUGAACGAUGGGGUGACGCAGGAGGGUAGUGACGCGGACUGAUGGAUGUCCGUCCAAGCAGUGAGGCUGAUGUGUAGGCAAAUCCGCACAUCGAUAAGGCUGGGCUGUGAUGGGGAGUGAAAAUUACAGUAGCGAAGGUCAUGAUCUCACACUGCCAAGAAAAGCCUCUAGUCAGGUGAAGGUGCCCGUACCGCAAACCGACACAGGUAGGCGAGAAGAGAAUUCUAAGGCGCGCGGAAGAACUCUCGUUAAGGAACUCGGCAAAAUGACCCCGUAACUUCGGGAGAAGGGGUGCCUCGGUAGGGUGAAUAGCCCGAGGGGGCCGCAGUGAAAAGGCCCAAGCGACUGUUUAGCAAAAACACAGGUCUGUGCGAAGCCGCAAGGCGAAGUAUACGGGCUGACGCCUGCCCGGUGCUGGAAGGUUAAGGGGAGCGGUUAGGGAUUAGUCCCGAAGCUGUGAACCGAAGCCCCAGUAAACGGCGGCCGUAACUAUAACGGUCCUAAGGUAGCGAAAUUCCUUGUCAGGUAAAUUCUGACCCGCACGAAUGGCGUAACGACUUGGGCGCUGUCUCAACGAGAGAUCCGGUGAAAUUUUAAUACCUGUGAAGAUGCAGGUUACCCGCGACAAGACGGAAAGACCCCAUGGAGCUUUACUGCAGCUUGAUAUUGGAUUUGGGUACGAUCUGUACAGGAUAGGUGGGAGCCUUUGAAGCAUGAGCGCCAGCUUGUGUGGAGGCGACGUUGGGAUACCACCCUGAUCGUAUCUAGGUUCUAACCUGGUACCGUGAUCCGGUACGGGGACAGUGUCAGGCGGGCAGUUUGACUGGGGCGGUCGCCUCCUAAAGAGUAACGGAGGCGCCCCAAGGUUCCCUCAGAAUGGUUG